rnacentral:rRNA from 1 species
CGGACUGUAGCCUGCAACUCGGCUGCACGAAGCCGGAAUCGCUAGUAAUCGCAGAUCAGCAUGCUGCGGUGAAUACGUUCCCGGGUCUUGUACACACCGCCCGUCACACCAUGAGAGUUGGGAAUACCCGAAGCCUGUGAGCUAACUUUAAGAGGCAGCAGUCGAAGGUAGAAUCAAUGAUUGGGGUGAAGUCGUAACAAGGUACC